AUGAUCCUACCAAAAUCUAUGGGUGGCAUGGGGUUCAGAGACAUGCAUGCGUUUAACCAAGCACUACUUGCUAAACAAGCUUGUCGACUAAUCGUGCACCCAGAUAGUUUGGUGGCCAGAUUGCUUAGUGCUAAAUAUUAUCCUACGGGGAACCUGAUGGACACCGUGUUAUCUGGGAAUGCAUCAGCUGUGUGGCAUGGCAUUGAACAUGGAUUG
rnacentral:rRNA from 1 species